CGGGAAGCAGCAGUAGGGAAUCUUCCACAAUGGACGAAAGUCUGAUGGAGCAAUGCCAUGUGAACGAUGAAGGUCAUAAAGAUCGUAAAGUUCUUUUAGGGGGGAAAACUCUGAUGGUACCUCCUGAAUAAGUGACAGCAAACUAUGUGCCAGCAGCUGCGGUAAUACAUAGGUCGCGAGCGUUAUUCGGAUUUAUUGGGCGUAAAGCAAGCGCAGGCGGAUUGAUAAGUUCUGUAUUAAAAGCAGCUGCUCAACAGUUGUUUGUACCGAAUACUGUCAGUCUAGAAUUUGGUAGGAAGUUUUGGAAUUAAACAUGGAGCGGUGGAAUGUGUAGAUAUGUUUAAGAACACCAGAGGCGAAGGCGAAAACUUAGGCCAUAAUUGACGCUUAGGCUUGAAAGUGUGGGUAGCAAAUGGGAUUAGAUACCCCAGUAGUCCACACCGUAAACGAUGGGUAUUAGAUGUUGGGACUUGUGUCUCAGUGUCGUAGCUUACGUGUUAAAUACCCCGCCUGGGUAGUACAUAUGCAAAUAUGAAACUCAAAGGAAUUGACGGGGACCUGAACAAGUGGUGGAACAUGUUGCUUAAUUCGAUUCUCCACGAAAAACCUUACCAAGGUUUGACAUCCCCAGCGAAGGUAUAGAAAUAUAUUGGAGGUUAUCUGGGUGACAGGUGGUGCAUGGUUGUCGUCAGCUCGUGUCAUGAGAUGUUUGGUUAAGUCCCGCAACGAGCGCAACCCUACUUCUUAGUUGUUUGUCUAAGUUGACUGAAUCGUAAGAUAUAGGAAGGUUGGGAUCACGUUAAAUCAUCAUGCCCCUUAUGCCUUGGGCUGCAAACGUGUUACAAUGGUGAGUACAAUGUGCAGCAAACUAGCGAUAGCGAGCAAAUCACUAAAACUCAUCUCAGUCCGGAUAAAAGGCUGCAAUUCGCCUUUU
rnacentral:rRNA from 1 species